GAUGAACGCUGGCGGCGUGCCUAAUACAUGCAAGUAGAACGCUGAAGCUUGGUGCUUGCACCGAGCGGAUGAGUUGCGAACGGGUGAGUAACGCGUAGGUAACCUGCCUCUUAGCGGGGGAUAACUAUUGGAAACGAUAGCUAAUACCGCAUAAAAGUCGAUAUCGCAUGAUAUUGAUUUGAAAGGUGCAAAUGCAUCACUAAGAGAUGGACCUGCGUUGUAUUAGCUAGUUGGUGAGGUAACGGCUCACCAAGGCGACGAUACAUAGCCGACCUGAGAGGGUGAUCGGCCACACUGGGACUGGGACACGGCCCAGACUCCUACGGGAGGCAGCAGUAGUGAAUCUUCGGCAAUGGGGGCAACGCUGAACGAGGAACGCCGCGUAAGUGAAGAAGGUUUUCGGAUCGUAAAGCUCUGUUGUAAGAGAAGAACGAGUGUGAGAGUGGAAAGUUCACACUGUGACGGUAACUUACCAGAAAGAGACGGCUAACUACGUG
rnacentral:rRNA from 1 species